rnacentral:rRNA from 1 species
GUGUCAGCAGCCGCGGUAAUACGGAGGGUGCGAGCGUUAUUCGGAAUUACUGGGCGUAAAGCGCGUGCAGGCGGGAAAGUAAGUCUGAUGUGAAAGCCCCGGGCUUAACCUGGGAAGUGCAUUGGAUACUGCUUUUCUUGAGUACUGGAGAGGAAGGGGGAAUUCCCGGUGUAGAGGUGAAAUUCGUAGAGAUCGGGAGGAAUACCAGUGGCGAAGGCGCCCUUCUGGACGGUUACUGACGCUGAGACGCGAAAGCGUGGGGAGCAAACAGGAUUAGAAACCCCCGUAGUCC